CAGACACACAUGGAGGUCCUGGUGCAGACCUGGUGCAGACACGCAUGGAGGUCCUGGUGCAGACACACAUGGAGGUCCUGGUGCAGACCUGGUGCAGACACGCACAGAGGUCCUGGUGCAGACACACACGGAGGUCCUGGUGCAGACCUGGUGCAGACAC